UCCAAGAAACUCCACCAACCGAGGAACACAACCCCUUUCAAUUACUUCAUGAAUUGGAGGGUUCUCAAUAGACAAUAGAAAGCUGAGCUUAGCAGUUGCUGCGUAUUGAAAACAAAGUUGACCACUGGACAAAUCACUUGCCAUUACAGCAAUAUUUUUCAGCAUCUCUUGCAAAGCAAUAGGAUUCCCAGAAGCCUCUUCUAUAUGUUUAUCCACGUUGAUUAUCGUGUCGUAUCUUUUAAAGCAGAGAAUGGUAUCUCGCUCCAGUUUCCUUAUCUUCUCUAAACCUUCAAG
rnacentral:misc_RNA from 1 species